AGGAGAGGAGAAGCCAGAAGUAGGAGAAGCAGGCAAGAGGAGCAGGAGGUAGAAGCAGGAGGGAGAAACAUUGUUAAAAGGUUCCUGAAAUAAACUGCUGUCGAAGCGGAUGCGACACCAACGAAAGGCAAUGACUUGUUUUCCCAGUGGAGGAAACUGCAAUGAGCUAUAACUUAUUGUCCAUGAAGAUUCAACCACAGAAUCAACUUGGAGGAUUCUAGUACUCCAACCAGGCUUCCUCCCUCCGUGGUCUCAAAUCCUUCCCAUGAAAACAGAAGCUGAAGUUUGCAGUGGUAUUUCUUAGUCGUGGUGAGAAAGAAGACACAUCCAAACAUGAGUCACAGUCAAGAGGCAGUCACAUGGCAAAGAUGUAUGCAGAGAGAAGAGGAAUUCUUCUAACAGUUUCAACAACUAUACAGUCCCCCUUGCCUCUCUAAAGCAAGUAUAGUUUCAUUUUCUCUAGGUAAUUUUCCAAGGAAUGAUUUAAGGACAGAGGUUCUCAGCCUUCCUAAUGCUGUGACCCUUUGAUAUAAUACCUUGUGUUGGGGUGAUCCCUGAACAAUAAAAAAUUUUUUGCA